AGGUUCGCUAAGCGAAGCUUAGCGAGAUUCAGCGAACAAAGUCAGAGAGUUAUGGUCUGGUGGCGAGAGGUAGCGAGCAUCAGCGAAGAAAUGAUGAGUCAGGUUGUUUGCUACGUGUCAGAAAACCCCUUCUUGAAGCAACCUGUUCGCUUAGCGAACAUCACUUCGCUCAGCGAACUCACCUGUUUUGAAAAUCUAUAAAUAGCUAUCAGAUGUCAUUUUUUAUAAUCAAUCACUUUUGUAAUAGAUCUCACACGAGAGAAACACUAGUUCUAGGGUUCUUGAGGAGUUUUUAAGGUGGAUUCAUCACAAAAACUUGAGAAAUCAAGAGAUGAUCUUCAUUCUCUUCACUCUUCACUCUUGUAAGUUGAUCAAAACCAUGAGUAGCUAAUUUCUUUGUUGUUGGGAUUAGAUGUAGUUCUUUUGUGAUCAUGUAAUCCACUUAAUCAUAGUAUAUAUGUUUUAUUUAUCAAUCAUUAUGAGUGAUGUCUUGUUUUACUUGUUUAUCUCAAGAUUUGAAUGAUAUAGACAUAUGUUAUUUGAAUCAAAAGUUAAGAUAAUCAC
rnacentral:lncRNA from 1 species